CGCCCCGUCCGCGCAGCUCGUCCGGCCCGCCCGCAGGCCAGCUUCUCUCGGGAGCCUCCACCCAGGCGCAUGGCUCCAUGAAGCAAGAGGAGGAGGCAGAGCGCGAGAGAUCCCGUCCGCCCCAGCCGCGUCUGGGCCAGGAGAAAAGCAAAACCAUAUUCCUGCUGCUGUCAGUUUUGAUGCACUGAGAAAACUUCAGAGACCUAAGCUUUUUCCAGAGAAGAGAAGCUUUACUGGUGUUCCAGCCCUAAGGCUCAUAUGACAUUAACAGACAAGACACUUUUCAGAAAGACAGGUAAGUCAUUUGUUAAAAUCUCACUACUGUUGUUUAACAGAAACAUAUAUAUGCAUGUAUAUGUGUGUACUGUAUGGAAAAAGUGGAAUUAGAGUUUAUCUAGAAAAGAAAAAAUUACCUCAUCUAAGUGCAGAAAUGAAUAAUACUUAAACCAUACCAUACAAUUCUCUAUCAUAUUUCCACAGAUAAGUCAAAAAUUUAAAAAAUCUUAUUGUUCAUGCAUAAAUGCAGAAAACAAUA
rnacentral:lncRNA from 1 species